rnacentral:lncRNA from 1 species
AUGCAGAGACUCAGUCUAAAACGCUUCUCUGCAGUUUCCUUAGAGCCGCCGCCCCCUUCAAACCACAUAGAGACUGUGUCUGCCCCUCGAACAUAUAAAUCAAACAAAUCAGAAGUUAACAGAAGAGGAGUUAUUCAUAAAAACUUAAUAAAAAUUAAGACCACUCCUCUUAUUGAACAGAAAAACAGAACUGUCAAAUGUGGAUUAUUAAAUAUUAGGUCCCUUUCUUCUAAAUCUCUGUUAGUAAAUGAUUUGAUAACUGAUCACCAAAUUGACCUACUUUAUCUUACUGAAACCUGGUUACAGCAGGAUGAAUAUGUCAGUCUGAAUGAAUCAACCCCCCUCAGUCAUAAAAAUUAUCAUGUUCCUCGAAGCACAGGUCGAGGUGGAGGAGUAGCUGCAAUCUUCCACUCAAACUUAUUAUUAAACUUUCAUCCUCAGAACAAUUAUAACUCAUUUGAGAGCCUCACUCUUAGUCUCUCACAUACAAACUGGAAAACACAAAAACCAGUUCUACUUGUCAUUUUGUACCGUCCACCUGUUCCUUACUCAGAGUUUUUAACUGAAUUCCCUGACUUCCUGUCUGAUUUAGUGCUUAGAUCAGAUAAAGUCAUUAUAGUGGGAGAUUUUAACAUUCAUGUAGAUGUUGAAAAUAACAGCCUCAGCUUUGCAUUUAAUUCUAUAUUAGAUUCAAUUGGUUUCAUUCAAAACGUUAAUAAACCUACCCACUGUUUUAAUCACACCCUUGAUCUUGUUCUGACCUAUGGCAUCGAAAUUGAACAUCUAAUAAUUUUUCCCCCAAAUCCUGUUUUGUCAGAUCAUUCUUUAAUAACUUUCGAAUUUAAAAUGAUGGAUCAUGCAGCGUCUGGAAGAAAAAUCCACUACAGCAGAUGUUUAUCCGACAACGCUGUUAAUAAAUUUAAGAAAAUGAUUCCAUCUUUAUUUGCAUCUAUGCCAAGUAUAAACAUAGUGGAGGGCAGCUGCCAUAAUCCUACUCCCUACCAAAUUGAUCAUGUUGUUGACAGCGCUGUAACCUCACUGCGUGAAAUGCUUGAUUCUGUAGCCCCUCUGAAAAAGAAGUUAGUGAUU